rnacentral:rRNA from 1 species
AUGGCCAAUUUCAAGGUCACUGGUUAUGCCGGGGCACUGGAAAACACUAAGCUUGACUUCCAAAGCUUGUAUUUGCAUAGGAUUAAUUCUGGGGAUAAGAAAAACCAGUAUGUAGUGAUAGAUGGAUUUGGUACUACUGACCUUGGUCUCACAACCAUCAACGACUGGGCAAUAUAUGAUGGUGUGGCCCCGGACGCAAAGCUAGUCGCUCGUGCAAAAGGCAUUCGUGUGAAUGCUGCUGACUGGUGCAAUUUAUUCAUCAUAGUGUUCGAGCUUGACAGUUUUAAAGGAUCCACGCUUUCUGUAAUGGGAGCAACUGCUGAGGAACAAGGUGAAUGGGCUAUUGUUGGUGGGACUGGCGACUUCGCUAUGGCUCGUGGUGUCAUCCAGAGAAAAAUACAUCAAAAGGUAGCAGAUGGAGAUGUAUUAGAGCUUACUAUCGAUGCAGUCUGCCACAGGAAGGGGCAGCCUUCACCCACUCCGCAGCCUCCUGCCCCAAGCCAGCCGAUUCAGCCUCCUGUUCAGCCGCGUCCUGCCCCCACUCCCAUAAAAUAUGGACCAUGGGGUGGAACUGGUGAAAAACUUUACCAGUUCAACCCAAACAUGUCUGUACGCCUAAAGAGUAUGACGGUCUUCCGUCAUUAUGCUGUUAAUGGACUUACUUUCACUUAUAUCGGCCAAGAUGGCCAGGAACACGCCAGCGAACUUUUUGGUAAUAGCGUUCUUCGUGGCAACAAAGUUGACAGUCAAACAUUUCAGCUAGGCCCAACGGAGUUUCUGACGGGGCUGUCAGGAACAUACGGCCAUGAAUCCAGAUCAAACAAUAUUGCUAUGUAUUCCCUUAAGCUGGUCACUAACCUCGGCAACACUCAUGGACCUUUCGGAACUCCUGGGAUAGGCACCCCUUUCAGCUUUUCCGUGCCUCAGAACAACAGAAUUGUGAGCUUCUUUGGGGGAUCUACGGGUUACGCCAUCAAUUCAAUUGGUAUCUACACGCUCGACAAUUCUGCUUAG